rnacentral:lncRNA from 1 species
CAAGUGUCACAGAAUCCCCCUCUCUGCCCUCCACUCAGAGCGACUCUACCUUGGAAACCAGGGAUUCCCCUUCCCGUCGCCCGCCCCAUUUGAUAUAUGGGCCUGAAAUGUAUGCCAUCCCAUCACCAUCGGACUGGACUGUUCACAGCACUGGAGAGACAGAGGUCCUUCAUUCACUCCAGGUCACAGGCUGUGCGUGUGCAUGCCGAACACCCACAUGCACACAGUUGGUGGCUCAGUCUGAUGUACCUGACUUCUCACGCCUUCCCCCAGUCCUCCAGUACCGUGCCUCUACAUGGGCUGGGCAGCCCCAAACUGAAAUGGCCUUGACCAGAUCUGGCUGCUCCUUGCCAUCUGCCUCGCCUGCCGCCUCCUCUGGAGGCUCGGGUUGCCAUCCUACCUGAAGCAUGCAAGCACCGUGGCAGGCGGGUUCUUCAGCCUCUACCACUUCUUCCAGCUGCACAUGGUUUGGGUCGUGCUGCUCAGCCUCCUGUGCUACCUCGUGCUGUUCCUCUGCCGACAUUCCUCCCAUCGAGGCGUCUUCCUAUCCGUCACCAUCCUCAUCUACUUACUCAUGGGUGAGAUGCACAUGGUAGACACCGUGACAUGGCACAAGAUGCGAGGUAGGUAGCCCUGCCCCUCUCACCUGCCCAACCCCCCUGCCCCACUCCUCGUCUCCUAACUGCCCCCACCCUGUGCCUUUCCUCCCCUGCUUUUCUCCCUCACCUGCCCACCCCACUGGACGUGCAGACCUCACAUUACUCUCGGGUCCGUGUCUCUUUCCACCGUGCAUUUUCCCGAAGUCUGUCUGUCUCGUGUCAUGUAUGUGCCUGACUCUCUGGAGUAAGGGCAUCUAUCUGUCCUGGGCUUCCUUGCCCACCUGCCUAUCUGUCCCAUGCCCACCUAUCCAUCCUUGUGCCCGCUUUUCCUACCACAUCUCACCUGGUGCACCUCCUCCUUGCCAUGCUGAUCUGCUCU